rnacentral:rRNA from 1 species
GCAAGUCGAGCGAGAAAGCCUUCGGGUGAGUAGUGGGCGGACGGGGGAGUAACGCGUGGGAAUCUACCGAGUAGUGGGGGACAACAGUUGGAAACGACUGCUAAUACCGCAUACGCCCUACGGGCGAAAGCAGGGAAUCUUCGGACCUUGCGCUAUUUGAUGAGCCCGCGUUAGAUUAGCUAGUUGGUGGGGUAAAGGCCCACCAAGGCGACGAUCUAUAGCUGGUCUGAGAGGAUGAUC